rnacentral:lncRNA from 10 species
CUAUAAGAGAUGCUGCCUUGUCUGUCCAGCGCAAGUCCCUUGCUCCACUCUGCCAAGUGCGCGCAAGUACCCGGAGUGAUUGUGUCAAAGAAGAUGGCCAUGGAGACAGCAGCGUGGUUGGAGUGGUAGCAGGCCGCCAUCAGCAAGAGCUGCUCCCUGCCCAGCUGCUGGAGGCUAGAGCCUGCGGCCCAGUGGCUUGCCUCACUGUGGCUGGUGGUGGUGGUAACAGAGACUGCAGCAUGACCAGAGUGGUCUGGCCAUGCCUGAGAAUGAUGCUGUGUUAAGAAUCUCUCUUUAAGAUGAAAAGAGACAACUUAGCAUCUAGUGAAAAAUGACCAGGCAGUUUUCGGAAGGUGCACAUUUACCUUCCAGGGUAAAUGUAAAGCUUGAAGCUGCAGCUCUGCACUGAAGCUACUGUUAUUGUGGCAUAAAUUAAAUAAGAGGAAAAUGCAGAUUCAUUUGCUUUUCUCCUGGAAUAAGACCCCAGUGCUCCUCCAAGUUUAUAUAAAAGGCUGAGGAAUCUGUGGUACAAAUACUUUAAUUAGCUGACAGCAUGUGCGAUGAAUUACAUUUGAUUUCUGUCUAAGAUGCUUGUAUAAUAAAGGAUUUAAUUCAUUUUUUACAGUGUAAUGAAUGGAUAGACGAGGAUAUCUUAGAAAUUUGUUCAUUUAAAGCAAUAAUUGCAAUAUUGUACGCAAAGUGGAAUGACAUGAAGAACAUUGUAGAUAAAGUAUGUAGGAGCCUUCAGAUUCUGUGGAUUCUCUGUACCCUUGCCCUCCUGCCUGGGUAUGAAGCUGACUCCAUCUAAAAGCUCGAGAACUUCUGGCCCCACCUUUGGCCCUUGCCAUCUUUUGCCAGCAAGAAUGUAACAGACUCUUAAUUGACCUUUCUGCUCAUUAAAUGCUUAUUCAAUGAGUGAGUACAUGAAAAUAGAUUUCCUUCUAUUACUUCAACAGGAUUAGAGUAAAAGUAAUGUUUUACCAAAUAUUCAAGUGAGACAGGUGUAAACAAAUCACAUACUAACGUGUGGCAAAUGUUUGCAAGAUAAAAUGCCACUAAGAAUUAAAUUGCUGAGUAAGAGACUUGGAUAUAAUUAUUUAAUAUAAUCACAUGUGUUUAACAUUUCACUCAAUUGUAGCUAUCAUCCAAAAUGCUUCUUUGCCCUACCUAUAUGCUGGUUUAGAGAAACUGACCAUUUAGCUAUAAAUAUUCAAGGAGGAGGAAGGUGCCUUGCACUACCAGAUCUGACACCAGCUCCUAGCCUCACAAACACCAUUAUGCAUAGACACAGCCUGGGGAUCCUGUCAAAAUGGAGAUUCUGAGUCCAUAAUUCUGGUGCAGUAUUUGGGACUGUGCGAAUCUAUCAAACUCCCUGGUAAUGUUGAUGCUGCUGGUCCUUGGAUCUUUCAGUGGCAAGGAUUGCAAGCACUAAAUUUAACUCCGUGCAGUGUAAGGUGGCUUUCAGGAAGCUGAACACCAAAGUAUUUAUUGUCAUGAAUAUAACUAUACUGAAAGUUUCUUUCAUCCUAUGUGAGCAUCUAAGUGGAUUUAAGUUAAUUUGUAUACUCAUUAUUUGAUGAACAAGUAUUUUUUAAUGAUUAAACUAAAUUAUAAAUAUUGCAGGCACGGAUUUUUUCCUCAUAAAAGCUUCAGAAAUUUUCACAGAAUCCCUUAUCCCAACACCCUUAUCACAACACACAUAU